UUGGACUAACAAUAGUUCAUGAAUUUUUUUUAUUUAAUGAUUUUUUUUUUCCUUGUAAUGUGAUUACAGUUCCAUCUCUUUCAACACCACAACUGCAGCCACAUCAGUCAGUUUCUGCCAACUGGCAGAGUCAAGGAAGUGUGAUUUAAUCCACAAUCUAUUCGAGAUGAAAUCUACAAGUUAUUUGAGAAUUUAGAAAGAAGAGUCAUGUUGAAACUGGACCAAAUCCAAA